rnacentral:rRNA from 1 species
GAUGAACGCUGGCGGCGUGCCUAAUACAUGCAAGUCGAGCGAACGGACGAGAAGCUUGCUUCUCUGAUGUUAGCGGCGGACGGGUGAGUAACACGUGGAUAACCUACCUAUAAGACUGGGAUAACUUCGGGAAACCGGAGCUAAUACCGGAUAAUAUUUUGAACCGCAUGGUUCAAAAGUGAAAGACGGUCUUGCUGUCACUUAUAGAUGGAUCCGCGCUGCAUUAGCUAGUUGGUAAGGUAACGGCUUACCAAGGCAACGAUGCAUAGCCGACCUGAGAGGGUGAUCGGCCACACUGGAACUGAGACACGGUCCAGACUCCUACGGGAGGCAGCAGUAGGGAAUCUUCCGAAAUGGGCGAAAGCCUGACGGAGCAACGCCGCGUGAGUGAUGAAGGUCUUCGGAUCGUAAAACUCUGUUAUUAGGGUAGAACAUAUGUGUAAGUAACUGUGCACAUCUUGACGGUACCUAAUCAGAAAGCCACGGCUAACUACGUG